GUCGCGAAGGCGUAGCGACUGUCAGUGUAUAUAGUGACUCGCUUGUCCUUUGCCACCC
ensembl:miRNA mdo-mir-7345-1 mdo-mir-7345-1